UCGAAUCUUCUCGUUCUUCACCAUAUCUCAUCACAAUCGUUUGGAUUGGUAUUGCAGGUGUUGCUCCACAGGACUGCACAUAUGAAAACAAAAAAAUGUAAUUACUAUGGGUUAGUUAUUGAAUUACUAUGGGUCAGUUAUUAGGUUCUUACAUCUUCAGGUGUUGAAGUCUGACGAGCUCGAGAAUGUGCAUCAAUUGUAUUUGGUUCAUUUUCCUCAAGGUGUUCUUUUGGUGCUGCUACUACCAUUUGCAUCUUCAAGGGAAUAUUUUUCUUCUUGGUCUUUUUGGCCUUCGCUUUUUUAAAGACUCUCGAAGCUCCUUGUUUUCCUUCUGUAGCCGCUCUAUGUGGCUGUCAACAGCUUUCACCUUAUUCAACAGUUGUGAAUUCUUCUCAAGGAGCUCUUCAUUUGCUUUUGUAACUUUUUCCAGCUUUUGCUUCAAGGUUUUCUCCAGUUGCUUCCCCUCCAAAUCCCUCAUUAGAGCUCUCAGAUUCCCAGACAUUAAUAUCAUCUGUUCUUCUUCUUGCUGGCUUGAUUGAGGCACCUGCAAUCAUAAUAACAAAUAGCAUCAAAUAACUGGUUACUGCCCCCUAGAACCUGGUUACUGACCCCUAGUAACUGGUUACUGACCUCUAGCAAACAGUUUCUAACACCUAGAACCUGGUUACUGACCCCUAAUAACUGGUUACUGACCUCUAGCAAACAGUUUCUAACACCU
rnacentral:lncRNA from 1 species